rnacentral:rRNA from 1 species
GACGAACGCUGGCGGCGUGCUUAACACAUGCAAGUCGAACGGUAAGGCCCUUCGGGGUACACGAGUGGCGAACGGGUGAGUAACACGUGGGUGAUCUGCCCUGCACUUCGGGAUAAGCCUGGGAAACUGGGUCUAAUACCGGAUAGGACCACUGCCUGCAUGGGUGGUGGUGGAAAGCUUUUGCGGUGUGGGAUGGGCCCGCGGCCUAUCAGCUUGUUGGUGGGGGGAUGGCCUACCAAGGCGACGACGGGUAGCCGGCCUGAGAGGGUGACCGGCCACACUGGGACUGAGAUACGGCCCAGACUCCUACGGGAGGCAGCAGUGGGGAAUAUUGCACAAUGGGCGCAAGCCUGAUGCAGCGACGCCGCGUGAGGGAUGACGGCCUUCGGGUUGUAAACCUCCUUCAGCACCGACGAAGCGCAAGCGACGGUAGGUGCAGAAGAAGGACCGGCCAACUACGUGCCAGCCGCCGCGGUAA